GCCCGCGCUGGGGCCGCGGAGGCAGCGAGGCGCCCCGAGGAGCCGGCUCCGGCCCAGGUCGUCGCAGCAGCACAGGAGGCUGUAGCACAGAUGCUGCUGAGUGAAGAAGAGGGAAACGAGUGCAAAAAGAAAAAAAAAUGAAUUGGGAGAUCAACGAUCAGCUUUACCCAUAAUCUUCCCUCGGUGGAUACUGUGAUGCACCACUCAGGUCCCUGCUCCCAGGAGGCUCUCCUGCCCCCAGUUUCUGAGACACUUUCCAGGAGUUGUCCUCAGCUGAAGGAGUGGACUCACCCAGGGUCACGUGCACUUCCCGGGGACAUCUGCGUCUAAUGACUGGUCCACGUUGGCAUGCGAAGGCCUGGUCGCAUGUCUUCCUCCCAUCUCCAGAGCUCCCAAGGGAUCACCUGAGGCCUUUGUUGUGAUGCAUCACAGCCCAGUUUCUCCCUCUGCCCCAGUCCUGCUUUACUCCCUCCUGCCUUCCAGAUGGUGUUCCACUAAAAAAAAGAAAAGUUUCUGCUCUCCAAAGUGACCAGUGAAAUAUACGAUGCUAUCUUUUCCCCAGGUCAUGCUGGGAAAGGCACCGAAGGCAAAUAAUCAAUUAGUCCUUUCGUCAUCCUGUAAGUCCUCUUCCAAUGGUGCCCGUCCCUGACCAGCUGACGUUUCCAUAACC